CAGCGCGGGGCCCGCCGGAGCCCGAGCGGCUUCCGGCCCAAAGGGAGACGCACUUGAGUGAUCGCGAGGAGCAAACUUGGCGCUCUCGGCCCCGGGCCUCGGAGAGGUGAGAGAUUCCGGCUGCGCUCCUCUCCUCCCUUCCAAGGCCGAGACCCCGCCACACAUCCUCUUGCGGCGCCGCGGGACUCCAGACGCGGGAGUGUGUGCGGGAAGACCCGGGAGCGCGUCGCCCGCCUGUCGGGCUCUCCCCGAAGCUUCUCUGCGGCGCUCUGGCCGCAUUCCGGGAGCCCGGACCGAGCCAUCGCUCUGAGUUUGCCUGUACUCCGCCCUUUUUCGUCUUUGUAUCCGUUUGUCUUGGGCUCAGUGACUCUGUGUCUCUCGCCUUCAGUGAAUCUCUGCCUCUGUUUCCAGUGGAAACCCUGCAUUUGUCUGGGUGUCUCUGGGGGUCGAGAAUCCCUCGCUCAAUUUCCCCCACCCCCCAGUCGCACUGCAGGGCUGCCCCCCGCCCCUUUCUGGCCGGCCCCGGACCCUUAGGCUCUACGGACCAGCAGCAGGACCCCCAGAGAGACCUUCCUCAAUGAACCCUGACCUCAGCCCUGGGCCAGCGUUGCCUCAUCUCUCAGGAUCCUGUGCACACAAGCUCUGGGGCGAGACAGUUGUUGGGCCGAAGCCUGGACGUCUCUCGAUCCCUUCCUCCACCCGGAUCUCCGCCUGCUCCAGAGCGAUUGGCUUCCCCGGCCCGGGCGGGAGGCGGGAGCCUCCAGAACCGGAGACCUGCAAGGACGAACGUCAGGCGGCGGGGCUCCCCCCACACAGGAGCCGGGCUCCGGGUCAGAGUUCAGAGAGAGGUCGGACCCACUGCUUGCACAGAAAUGACCGAGCUCCCAGCGGGUGCGCCUUCGCCGCUGACCACCUGCCCUGCCCGCCCGCUGUUGCCCACACCUCUCGUACCCUCCACUUCUCGGAGGAAACGUCUUUCUCUCCUUUCACCCUGCCUGGCCACGAUCACCUCCCAGCACCCCUAUCCUGGGGCUGCGUAGUGGGGGGGCUCGCUUGAGCCCCCCUACGGCCUCAGCACCGCGCGGCGGCUGAGACCUGAGCGAGCUGCGGAGCCUGCGGACUCUGGUUCGCGGGAAGAGGGUUGCGGGCCCAGGGUGAAAACAGCACGGCCCCGCAGCCGCCGGACCUGGGGCUCUGGCUUCCCGGCGACCGCAUUGCCACAGGCUUCCCCCUCGCCUGAGAGACACGCAGCUGGGGGCAGGGGUCAAGGGGACGCUUCCAGGUGUGUCAGAGCGUCAGCCUCAGGGGUAAGUGCCCCUACUGUCUAAGUGCGUCCUGGGUUUCUGGGCCCGGGGGGCCUGUUUUUCUGUCCGCGUGUGUGUGCCCCUCCGGACGGUGGUGGCUCUGUGUCCGACCGGCGCCUGUCCCGAGUGCUAUCCUGCCAUCCGCACGAUUGAGGGGACUGCCCUGGAAGCCUUGCGAUCCAGGCCCACAGCUCUACCCCAGAGCCCGAAGCGGCGCGACCUCGUGGGAAUUGCGAACCCACCCCAGGCCCACCGCGUGACCCUGGCGGGGAAGGAGGAUGUGUGGGUGCAAACCUGGGUACGGGUUUGGGACUACAGCCGGGAGAGAGAGGAGAGCGUACGGUCACGGCGCUGCGGAGAGCCAGGAGACUAGCGGCGGCCUCCUGCCCACCCCAUUGCACGUCGGCCGCUGGAGCAGCAAGACCUCGGACCCGGACGCAAUUCGGCAGCCCUGAAGUGGGGCAAGACUGGAGGGAAGGGAGGAGGGGGCCCAGCCGCCCGAACCCGGUGACCGACGCAACGCACACGCACACACGCCGUCGCCUUUAGCCUUUCGGAGGCCCAGGUAGGGUAGCUGGUGAGACCGUAAGUCCCUGGGUGGUUGGAGACAUGAUGCUGGUUGCCUGACCUCUCUGGAGCCCGUGUGGAGCCGCGUAAGCCCCACAGAAACAGAGCGAGGAGACCAGAGGGAGUCUCGGCCUUGCCCAGUAGAUGCAGGUGACGGAUUCCUGGGGAACAGCGACCUCUGGAGGAGCGGCGCGUCCACACAGAGAGUCAGGAACUGGACGACCAGGUCUAGGACCAAAGCGCCCUUUCUCCACCCCACCCCUUUGGCAAAGUCAUCCAGAGACUCAUAACCUCCGGACUCCUCUUUGCGCAUGCUUGUGGCCCUUCCCAACCUGUACUUAUACUUCAAAGCCUUGCUCAAAUCCUGCUUCCUCCAGAAAGAAGCCCUCUGGAGAGCCCAAAGCAUCUUGCUCUCUUUCUGCUCUGAGCUCCUCAGAACUGAAAGCCUGAACCCUUGACUCCAGCGCUCGCACACCGCGCUGCACAGCCGACCUGCUUCCUGCCUCGCCCUUCCCCAAAAGACCGUUAAUCCAUAUACUCCACCCACCCUUUGCAUUGCACGCUGGGUGUGCUGUUUUUCUUUCCCUCCAGUAAAUAAAGACUGAAGUCAUUUAUCCCA
rnacentral:lncRNA from 1 species